AGGUGCCUUUCCCUUCCAUGCCCUGGCAGUGAUACAGCAGGAGCUCUUGGCACCUGGAGACUCUGCUUUCACAACUGCUGCAAGAACAUAGGGCAGUGGCAGGAAUCCCUGAGUGAGCAGCAUCAUCAUGAGACGAAAGAAAAUCAUGGUGUUUCCUCUGCCCAUUUACUCCAUGAAACUUGAACCCUGCUUGUGAAAGCAGCAAGGCUUUGACAGGAGGAGAGGUGAAGAGCAGGAUCUUUCUGGGUUUCUGAAGGAUCUGGAAGGAAUUACCAGUGACAGUUGUGAGGGGGAUGUACUCCAGCUUGGCGGGGUUGGUUUGUGCUUUGUUUCCACAUUGCCUCCUCCUAGCAAAGUGGAUGUGCUGGUGGCAUCCCCGGAUUUCUUGAGCUCUCAUGCUGACUCUGAGUCAGCUUUGACCUGGCUGGGUGCUCACCUGCAUUAUUCCAGAUGUGACCAUGGAAAUUCCACAGGGAAAGCAACCCUAGGGAAGAAGGUCUUGCUGGCUUCAUGUCUAAAAACAAAAUAAAAAUCAAACAAGGAAAAGGGAAUGGGAGCCCUGGGGGGGACACAAUCCCUUGGCAAGCACCCCUAUGUCAUUAUUUACCUUUUUGGAGAAUCUACAGCAGGACCACAGCCACAGCCUGAUGUGCACUGAGCUGCAUCUCUGGGGGGUGAACAGCAAAUGCUUUGUGUCAUGCACUGAGCUGGAGGGCAAGGUGAGUUUGUGGUCUUUCCUCCUGGGAGAUGCUAUCAGGACAAGCUGCGAAGUGGGAUGUCUGAAACAGAUCAAGACGAUUUUCUAAACACCAGUACACAAGUAAGUGCUCAACACUGAAUAUGGACAAAGUGCAUUUUGUGAUGUGGCACUGUUGAGCAUGAGCCUGCUGGCAUUCAGGAGCUCAGAGCUGAUCUGCUGGGGAAAUCCUUUACCAACAGCACUGCUGUCCUUGUGGCCUUUGCAUAAAGGAACUGUCCUAUGUAUUAGAAUGGAGUGUGUUGAAUUAGGGGUGAAGGCAGUCCCAGGGAAGAGGAUUAUGAACUGGGAGCUCCCUGGCUGUCUCCAGUGAGUAUCUGCACACCUGGUCUGCAGGACAGCAGGUAAAGCAAAAGGAAGAAGGAAGGGAAAUAUUCUCUGGUAAUUCAGGAAGAGGAGAGCGGCAGAAGGAGCCCCAUGCACCUUUCAGCAGAACAGUUGUGAGCUGUAGGUGUGAAUCCCACAGCAGCCCGUUGUCAUUAAGCAUCCUGUAAGGUGAGGAGGGGGGUAAGCACUGCAAUAAGCUCAUCAGCAGCAUCUGAACCAACUCUUGGCCCCCUCUGGAUACCCUUUGGAAAUCUUCAGCGUGUUUUGUGUUUGUUUAGGAGCCAGAAACAAAUGCUGGCAGAUGCAAAGGUGUGAAAUGUUGGCCAGCCCAUCCCAGGGUGCCCUACAAGGCACUGGAGGGAGGAUUGCUCUAAGUGGAUGAUGAGCUCAGCUCAGAGGCUGUUAAGUUAAAGCUUAUUACCCUCAUUAAGAGAUGUGUGUAAUGUGGUUUUGGGCUUCUGAUAUGGUAAAACCAACAUUUUCCAAAUGUUCCGGUGUCCUGUCUGUU